rnacentral:lncRNA from 1 species
UACUUGUCUGUUUUUCCUUUUGAGACUCUAAGCACUUUCAUCCCCACUGCCUAACAUAUUAAGAAUAUAUGUAAAAUGAAUCAAUUACGAUUAUUGGGGCCCCAAUUUCUACUUAUAUUUAGGUGUAAAUCUCAUUCUUCAUUUACUUUAGUGUAUUUUGAAAUGUGGACAAUACUGUCUUAUAUAUUACAUGUAUAGGAUUUUUAAACGGGGCUCUGAAAGACUCACUGUUGGAG